rnacentral:rRNA from 1 species
GACGAACGCUGGCGGCGUGCCUAACACAUGCUAGUCGAACGGAAAGACCCUGCUCUUGCGGCGCGCACGUGAGGCGCACGGGUGAGUAACACGUGUGUAACCCCUCCCUGUAUUUGGGAUAACUCCUCGAAAAUCGGGCUCAUACCCGAUAGGAGAUCUUGCUGCACGGUGGGGGUUGGAAAGUUUCGGUGGUGGGGGCUAGACUAGCGGCUUAUGAGCUUGUUGGUGAGGUAGUGGCGUACCAAGUCUUCGAAGGGUAGGCGGCCUGGGAGGGGGAACGGCCACAAUGGGACUGAGAGACGGACCAGACGCCUACGGGAGGCAGCAGGGGGAAGUAUGACGCAGUGGGCGGAAGCCAGAGACAGCAACGCCGCGUGCGGGAAAACGUCCUUCGGGUUAUAAACCGCUUUCGCCUGUGACGAGGCGUGAGUGACGGUAAUGGAUAAAGAAGCACCGGCUAACUACGUG